GGGGAUGAUCGGCCUAGACAAGUGAUUUCUACUUUUUAGUGCAUGCCGAGCUUUGAGUAACUCGCAAAACUGCUCUGAAUGGUAAAUGCAAACUUUACCGCAAAGCUUAAAGGUAUGGUUAGUCCAUACGUCUUUAAAGCUCCAGCUUUCGCUUUAGCCUAAGCUGGCGUCUCAACUGCCUACUCCGAUACGCAGCUUGAGGUGUUAUAUCUUCGGAUAAGCUAUUGGGCCCGCCGAGCUCAUUAGACGAAAAUUCAGGAUCGGCGCUUAAAGGUUUCGUCCGACUUUCAACUUUAGGCGCUUAAACCUCCAAGACGGAACAAGCAUGUAGAUUCUCUAAAGUAAAUCAUUUGCACGCGAGUUCGAUUCUCGCCAUCUCCACAU
rnacentral:tmRNA from 1 species